AUUGAAACACUAGUUCUCGUAUGAUCACCAGAGUUAAGUAAUGUUGAGUCUGGUCAGUACCUAGAUGAGUGACCACUUGGGAAUAGCAAGUGCUGUAA